CAUGGCUCAGGACGAACGCUGGCGGCGUGCCUAAUACAUGCAAGUCGAGCGGACAGAUGGGAGCUUGCUCCCUGAUGUUAGCGGCGGACGGGUGAGUAACACGUGGGUAACCUGCCUGUAAGACUGGGAUAACUCCGGGAAACCGGGGCUAAUACCGGAUGGUUGUUUGAACCGCAUGGUUCAAACAUAAAAGGUGGCUUCGGCUACCACUUACAGAUGGACCCGCGGCGCAUUAGCUAGUUGGUGAGGUAAUGGCUCACCAAGGCAACGAUGCGUAGCCGACCUGAGAGGGUGAUCGGCCACACUGGGACUGAGACACGGCCCAGACUCCUACGGGAGGCAGCAGUAGGGAAUCUUCCGCAAUGGACGAAAGUCUGACGGAGCAACGCCGCGUGAGUGAUGAAGGUUUUCGGAUCGUAAAGCUCUGUUGUUAGGGAAGAACAAGUACCGUUCGAAUAGGGCGGUACCUUGACGGUACCUAACCAGAAAGCCACGGCUAACUACGUGCCAGCAGCCGCGGUAAUACGUAGGUGGCAAGCGUUGUCCGGAAUUAUUGGGCGUAAAGGGCUCGCAGGCGGUUUCUUAAGUCUGAUGUGAAAGCCCCCGGCUCAACCGGGGAGGGUCAUUGGAAACUGGGGAACUUGAGUGCAGAAGAGGAGAGUGGAAUUCCACGUGUAGCGGUGAAAUGCGUAGAGAUGUGGAGGAACACCAGUGGCGAAGGCGACUCUCUGGUCUGUAACUGACGCUGAGGAGCGAAAGCGUGGGGAGCGAACAGGAUUAGAUACCCUGGUAGUCCACGCCGUAAACGAUGAGUGCUA
rnacentral:rRNA from 1 species